GAUAAACCCUGUCUCGAAAAACAAAACAAAACAAAAACCCUAAAAGAAUGGGAUUAAGACCAGUCCUUUACAGGGUAGCACAUGAAAGUGGAAUAUCACUGUACUUGUAAUGAAUGCAAGUUUUAUUCAAAUUUAACCCAUUCUGUGACUGAGAUUCUUAGGAUUUUGGAAAGCGGAAGGAUAAAAAAAUGGAACACUUCACCAAGAACAGAAAUGGCUGAGCAUACUGGAAUGGGAACAUGGAGUGAGGGGCUUUGGUACGAAGAGGAUGUGAGCUGCAUUUGAGGCUGUUUUGAAGGGAAUGUUUCUCCUCCAGUCUUUAUAUCAUCAACGACAAGCUGUUUGUGAGGAAUGUCCAAGGGAUUCCCUGUGCCUCCAUCGCUGUGGCCACAUCUUCUGACUAUUUGCCUGGCCUCUGUGAAGAUCAACAGAAGAUGGUGCAAACAUUCUAUGCACAGUCUGGGAUGAAUGUCGAGGGGUCUCAGAGGUGCCUUAAUGAUGAGCUUUGGGAUUACAGCAAAGCAAUACAAAGCCUUGCUGUGCUCAAGGUGAGGUUUGGAAAUUAAAACCAAGUGAUAAAAUGCCAGGUGGCCUGGAAAUGAUGCUAGUAUUCUUGUAUCUGCUGAUCUCCUAAUUGCCUCCUUUACCUCCUCCUGGUGAAGGACACAAGCCCAGAGGAUACCUUCACACAGACAGGUCCAGGAUCCUAAGAACACACAAAGAAGAAAUUCCUAGGUGCUGCUGUCUUCUUUCUUCAAACCUCUGUUGUCAUUUUCUUCUAGUAAUUUCCAUGUAAAUGAAUUGGGCCAUCUAGUUACAUUCUGGAAGCUAACGCCUAUCUUGUAAAGCUAACUCAUUCAUACAUCUAAAGGAAUUGUUGUUUGUGUAUUUGCCACAUAUUUCAGAAUCCUUGUUUCUUAUAUUUUCUUUUAUUAUAAAUUUUAUUAAAUUUGUUGAGCAUUU